UAAUUGAUAGAGCUCAAGGAGGCAAAAAGAUCGAUGUGGGAUUUGUCAGAAAAAAAGAGCAUUAGGAAUGAUGUUAGCGAUGUAAAGGAAGGUGGAGCAUGUGAUUGAAAGGUCCACAUGGAUAAAAAGCACGAGGAAAAGAGAGUGGUAAGGGAUGAUGGGUUGAGAAUAAAGAGAACAGUGGCGCAGAGUUAGCAGCCUCACUCUCGAAGCACCAAGGAAAAAGCUACACUCCCUAUUAAUUUAUUAUUGCCACGUUUUCCAAGAUAUCAAUCCUAUGUUUUUAACCAUGUGAUUUUGCUCUUGCUCUAGGGGGAAUAUUUAAGCAGGCUCGCAUAAUUAAGAUGCAAAUGGA
rnacentral:lncRNA from 1 species